GUGAAUGUCUUCCUGAGGGAUUCUACCUGGAGUCACUUUCUCCUCCAGUGAGACCCUGAGUUUUGGGAUGGUAUAAAGCAGAAUGUUAAUUAAGCGCUAUAUUCAAAGUAAAAGUACCAGGAAAAUUCGGAAAAGGGAUAAAGAACUGAGUUUGUCCUGGUAUAGGCAAGAAAGCCUUCAAAGUGGGUGAAAUAAUUCGAACAUUUCCCUGGUGUUCCUUCUCCCUAACCCAUCUAUUUCAAGGUAGGGUCUCUCUCUGUUACCCAGGUUGGAGUGCAGAGGUGGGAUCACAGCUCACUGCAACCUUGACCUCCUGGGCUCAAGUGAUUCUCUCACCUCAGCCUCCCAAGUAGCUGGGACUAUGGGCGCAUGCCACCACUUCUGGCUAAUUUUUUAAUUUUUAAAGUUUUUGUAGAGAUGAGGUCUCACCAUGUUGCCCAGGCUCAUCUCAAACUCCUGGGUUCAAGCAGUCCUUCUGCCUCAGACUCCCAAAGUGCUGGGAUUACAGGCAUGAGCUACAGUACCUGGCCAACAGCUCUCUUAAGGUAUAACUGAUGUACAAUUAACUCUACAUAUUUAAAUUGUACAACUUGAACGAGUUUUGAUAUAUGUAUACCAUAUAUCAAACCAUCACCACAGUUGAGAUGACAAGUAUUUCCAUCACCCCAGAAUGUCCUCAUGCCUCUUUGUUAUCCUUCCUUCAUUCCUGUUCCCAGGCAUCCACUGAUCUGCUUCUGUCACUGUAGAUGAAUUUGCAUUUUCUAGAAUUUUAUAUAAAUGGAAUCAUACAGUA
rnacentral:antisense_RNA from 1 species